UACGUAGGGGGCAAGCGUUAUCCGGAUUUACUGGGUGUAAAGGGAGCGUAGACGGCAGCGCAAGUCUGGAGUGAAAUGCCGGGGCUCAACCCCGGAACUGCUUUGGAAACUGUGCAGCUAGAAUGCGGGAGAGGUAAGCGGAAUUCCUAGUGUAGCGGUGAAAUGCGUAGAUAUUAGGAGGAACACCAGUGGCGAAGGCGGCUUACUGGACCGUAACUGACGUUGAGGCUCGAAAGCGUGGGGAGCAAACAGG
rnacentral:rRNA from 1 species